UAGGGAAUCUUCCACAAUGGGCGCAAGCCUGAUGGAGCAACACCGCGUGAGUGAAGAAGGGUUUCGGCUCGUAAAGCUCUGUUGUUAAAGAAGAACAUGCAGGAGAGUAACUGUUCUUGUAUUGACGGUAUCUAACCAGAAAGCCACGGCUAACUACGUGCCAG
rnacentral:rRNA from 1 species